ACUGAUGGGAAUGGUGUAGGUAUCCGUGGUGGAAGAAGUAUUCAUAUACUUUACUUUAGUAAAAGUACUAAUAUCAUACUGUAAAAGUACUCCGUUACAAGUAGAGUCCUGCAUUGAAAAUGUUACUU